rnacentral:lncRNA from 1 species
CCAGAAUUAAACUUGUUGAUGCUGACAGCCAUUCACAAUCACAUGAAGCCUGAGAAGAAAGCCAUGAUAAAUAUUCUAAACUCUGAGCUGAUGAGCUUCUGGACUGGAGAAGAGGAGAGGGCCUCAGAGAUCUGCUGUGAACCCUGUAGCCAUGACUGCACCUUGGGGAUUAUUCCUCAUACACCCCGGAAUGUGGUUUUGAGCGAGAAUUUCUGAUCCUAGCUGAAAUCUUCCUAUGUACUUCUGGAGAAAAUGCCUUAAUCCCU